rnacentral:misc_RNA from 1 species
GAUGAAGAACGUAGCGAAAUGCGAUAAGUAAUGUGAAUUGCAGAAUUCAGUGAAUCAUCGAAUCUUUGAACGCACAUUGCGCCCGUUAGCAUUCUAGCGGGCAUGCCUGUCCGAGCGUCAUUUCAACCCUCAGGGUCCCCGUUCCGGCGGGGAACCUGGUGUUGGGGAUCGGCCCGCCCCGUGCGGCGCCGUCCCCCAAAUUCAGUGGCGGUCUCGCUGCAGCCUCCCCUGCGUAGUAGUUACAACCUCGCAUCGGAGCUCAGCGCGGCCACGCCGUAAAACCCCCGACUUUCUGAACGUUGACCUCGGAUCAGGUAGGAAUACCCGCUGAACUUAAGCAUAUCAAUAAGCGGAGA